CCUACGGGAGGCAGCAGUGAGGAAUAUUGGUCAAUGGGCGUAAGCCUGAACCAGCCAAGUCGCGUGAGGGAUGAAGGUUCUAUGGAUCGUAAACCUCUUUUAUAAGGGAAUAAAGUGCCGCACGUGUGCGGUUUGGAGAGUACCCGGAGAAAAAGCAUCGGCUAACUCCGUGCCAGCAGCCGCGGUAAUACGGAGGAUGCGAGCGUUAUCCGGAUUUAUUGGGUUUAAAGGGUGCGUAGGCGGACGCUUAAGUCAGCGGUAAAAUUGCGGGGCUCAACCUCGUCGAGCCGUUGAAACUGGGUGCCUUGAGUGGGCGAGAAGUACGCGGAAUGCGUGGUGUAGCGGUGAAAUGCAUAGAUAUCACGCAGAACUCCGAUUGCGAAGGCAGCGUACCGGCGCCCAACUGACGCUGAAGCACGAAGGCGUGGGUAUCGAACAGGAUUAGAUACCCGUGUAGUC
rnacentral:rRNA from 1 species